rnacentral:rRNA from 1 species
CCCUACGGGGUGCAGCAGGCGCGAAAACUUUACAAUGCGGGAAACCGUGAUAAGGGGACACCGAGUGCCAGCAUCAUAUGCUGGCUGUCCGGGUGUGUAAAUACACCUGUUAGCAAGGGCCGGGCAAGACCGGUGCCAGCCGCCGCGGUAACACCGGCGGCCCGAGUGGUGAUCGUGAUUAUUGGGUCUAAAGGGUCCGUAGCCGGUUUGGUCAGUCCUCCGGGAAAUCUGACGGCUUAACCGUUAGGCUUUCGGAGGAUACUGCCAGGCUUGGAACCGGGAGAGGUAAGAGGUACUACAGGGGUAGGAGUGAAUCCCUGUAAU